CACCCGAUGACUGAAAGCAAGUGUAGGUCUUUUAAACCUAAGAUAGUAAGGCGUCUACUUCAGGUGA
rnacentral:tRNA from 1 species